UACAGAGGGUGCGAGCGUUAAUCGGAAUUACUGGGCGUAAAGCGCGCGUAGACGGUUUUGUAAGUCAGAUGUGAAAUCCCUGGGCUCAACCUGGGAACUGCAUUUGAGACUGCAUGGCUAGAGUAUGGAAGAGGGAAGUGGAAUUUCCGGUGUAGCGGUGAAAUGCGUAGAUAUCUGGAGGAACACCGGUGGCGAAGGCGGCAUUCUGGACUGCAACUGACACUGAAAGACGAAAGCCAGGGGAGCAAACGGG
rnacentral:rRNA from 1 species